UGUAUAGCAGUUUAUUCCUUUAAUAGUGUUAUUCUUUUCUCUUUUUAGAAAGGAAUUCAUUACAAUGAGCUUGGAAAGUACAGUCUACUGUAUUAUACAUUUCAUUAUUCACAGGGACAAAAAAAGAAGGAUCUUUCCACACAAGAUUAAUACUUCAGCUGAAUACCAGAAGAGUUGACCGUGUGCUGGAUGGGGGCCAUCCAUCAGCAAUUUAACAUCUGUGAUCUAGCUACGGGGAAAGAAAGAAGGAAGAAAGGAACGCUUCACGAAUUUGCGAAGGAAGAAAGGAAGGAAACAAGCAAAGAACAAGAAAAUCACUUGGAUGGUUCUUACAUUGCACCUAAGACCAAUAUAUUGGAGUUCCUUGUUGGUGGACAACUCUGGAGACUGAUCCCCAGCCAUUUGACUUCCUGGGUAUCUGAAUCAGACCUGUCAUGUGGGACUUAAUGCUAUGGUAUAUUCAAGCACUGUGCUUUUUGAAGAAAGAUGCUACUUUCACUUUAACACUGACCUGCAACAUACCUGUGGCAAUAUUCUUCUGGAGAGAUCUCCAGGGGUAAACUACAAGAACUGGAACUACUUGUUUGUUCUGAUAGUCUGAUUAUUCUAUGGGGGUGCUUUGUACCAAACCCCUCUGCAUUUGAGUGACCACCGGGCUGAGUGAGAUCUGCACAAUCAACUCUUCUCUAGGAUAUAUUUCCACAUCUCCACCGGGGCCAGACUUGGUCCCAGUACAUUAACUCCUAUAGCAGUUGCCUCCUCUUGCUAUUCUUUCUGAAUCCCAGGAACUAACAGUGCUCAGACACUUUAAACACUCUCUUAAUUAUAGCAUGUUGUGCACCUCACUAACAGCAAGACCACAGUAUAUAAUUAAAGUAAAAAUAUAUAAACUAUUUGAUGUUGUCAGUAUCUCUAGCUCAAUGUGAAAUUAUACUAGGAACAGAAGACUGUUGUCUGAAAAUCCAUUUUAUUGUCAUUUUUAUGGCUAUGUUAGAUAAUAAAAUCAAGAGAGAGAUGACUGGAAUAACAAUAGCAUCUCAUCCUAGGAAAAAAGGGAAGGAGGGUGUAGUAAUACAGAGAUUGAUGUAUGAAGCCUCUUGUCUAAGUAAACAAUCUACAUACAUUUGCAUUUGCAUGGAAUCAUUGUUAUAAAAUGUUGUCUUCAUUAAAGUGAGGAUCUGAUGAUAUAUGUUAUUUCCCCACUCUGGUCCAGCUGCCUCUUUAAAAUCAGAACUCAGGAUUCUUAAGCAUAUCUAAGCAAUCUAGGUUCUAUCUGUUUGACUGUUAUUUCAAGUGACAGAGAAUGGGAGGUUGACAUUAAUGAGAGUUAAAUGCCCAGAUCAAGGGAGAAUAAGUCCCAAUUAUGUUUUAUUGGAAUAAAUAAGGGAACCGGUCACCAUAUGGUAAAUCAGAAAAUAUGCUCAUGCUAAUAGCAACUUUUGGAAGACACAUCAGAGGGCCAUGCUCUGCCUCAGCCUUAUGUUUCAUCCUAAACUGUCCCCCCACUACAUGAGAUGGGCAGACCCCUACACUUUUGAGAAUGUUCAUUGCCCAGAUAGGAGGAGGCAGAACCACUCACCCCACUAACCAGUCAGCAGAGAUGGUUGGACACAUGGAAGGCAGUAUGUUGCAUCUCCUAGGAAAGCUACUGUCCUGGGGUAGUGUGCAUCUACUCCUUCCUGUGAAAAAUCAGCUCUUGAAUCGGAAGACUGCUUUCUAAUAAGCAAUAUGAAAUCUGGAUUACCCUGCUAUUUCUGGAGAUGGAUCCAGCACAGAUUUGGACUUUGAUUCCAUCUUUAUGCAUCAGUACCACAUUCAGAGGGUUUCAGAUCCUGGGUUUUGGUUAAGCUCAGUACAUAGGAAGAGGGGGUCAUUAGGAAAUUCUAGGUCUAGAACCAGUUUUUGAUCCUGCCCCAUUGAGUUCAACAGGAGGUCAAACUGAGGGCUUGGGUGUUAUCAUUGCCAUCUAUUACCAUCCUACUACCCGCAUAUAAAGAGCCGUAAUUCUAUCAACAGAUAAAAGACAAGCUUUGUACUAUGUAUAUGUGUAUAUUAUGCAAGAUUUCACUUGCUAGGAUUGUAUAUUAGCAUACACAGUUAAAAGAGCUAGCUCAUUUAUCUCAGUGAAUAAAAUGAGCAUCCCAUCACCCUCCCAAGCUCUCUUUCAAAAUAUGUAGCUUUUUACGAAUGAAUAGUAUAGUUAAUUCAAAAUGUACAUCAGUAAAAUCUACUCUUCUUAAUACAGUGCUAUUUAUGUUGCAAAGCCAAACAGUCCAGAGAGAUAUAAUGAGCCAGAUAUUCAGUGGUGUUUUCAAAACAACAUUUUUUCUUAAAUAAAGAAAAAUUAUUUGAAUGCAAGGCUCUAAACAACCAAACAACCUUGCAAAAUGAAUGCAGUAAUGAGGCAUCUGGGAGAGGGAAUCAUGGACUGAUGGCUUUCAGAAAAAGCCUAGAUGCUUUUCAGAUUUUCAAAGAAAAAUAAACCGAUGACAAAAGAAUAGCAGCUGUGGACACACUAAGGAAAUUAGUUGGAGCAGACUUGCAAUUAAGCAUUGGAAACUGAUCAAAAAAAUUAUCCCUUUCGUUUAUACCAUGGAUUCUAUCUACCACAAAAUCAAUUAAAAAAAAAACAAACUAUACAUGCUGUCUUGGUUUCACACAUGAAUGUAUCCCCUCAAAUCUUUGGAAAAUGCAGAAGGGUGUACAAGUAUGUUUGUCUUUUCAAUCAAAUAUGCAAAGUAAAAACCGGAAAAAACUGAGAUUGAAAGGGGAAAAGAGAAAUUGGGAGUGAAGUUUGGCAGAAUAAUUUACUCUCAGUCACAUUUUUCUAAAGAAAAUGUUUGUGCAAUGAGAUAAGCAGCUGUGGGUUUCUUUUGGUGCGUGUGGAUGAAUUUUUUCCUUUUUCCUGUGUAACACUCUCAGAACAAACACGACAAACUGAUGUUCAUUCUUUUUUUAACCAUAAUUUAAAAACAAUAAAGAAAACUUUAGAAAAUGAGAACUUUGUAGGCAAUUGUAUAUAAAAAGGUCAGACACAUCUUUGUCGGUUGAAAGU